UCCUGUGUGGCUCAGUUGGUAGAGCAUGGCGCUUGCAAUGCCAGGGUUUUGUUCGAUUACCACGGGGG
rnacentral:tRNA from 1 species